rnacentral:rRNA from 1 species
AACGUAGGAGACAAACGUUAUCCGGAGUUACUGGGCGUAAAGGGCGUGUAGGUGGUUGCGUAAGUCUGGCGUGAAAUUUUUCGGCUUAACCGGGAAAGGUCGUCGGAUACUGCGUAGCUAGAGGACGGUAGAGGCGUGUGGAAUUCCGGGUGUAGUGGUGAAAUGCGUAGAGAUCCGGAGGAACACCAGUGGCGAAGGCGACACGCUGGGCCGUACCUGACACUGAGGCGCGAAAGCUAGGGGAGCAAACGGG